UACGUAGGGGGCAAGCGUUGUCCGGAUUUACUGGGCGUAAAGAGCGUGUAGGCGGCCACGCAGGUCCGUUGUGAAAACUGGAGGCUCAACCUCCAGCUGUCGACGGAAACCGUGUGGCUAGAGUCCGGAAGAGGAGAGUGGAAUUCCUGGUGUAGCGGUGAAAUGCGCAGAUAUCGGGAGGAACACCUAUGGCGAAGGCAGCUCGCUGGGACGUUACUGACGCUGAGACGCGAAAGCGUGGGGAGCAAACAGG
rnacentral:rRNA from 1 species